rnacentral:rRNA from 1 species
GACGAACGCUGGCGGCGUGCUUAACACAUGCAAGUCGAGCGAUGAAGCUCCUUCGGGAGUGGAUUAGCGGCGACGGGUGAGUAACACGUGGGUAACCUGCCUCAUAGAGGGGGAUAGCCUUCCGAAAGGAAGAUUAAUACCGCAUAAGAUUGUAGUUUCGCAUGAAACAGCAAUUAAAGGAGCAAUCCGCUAUGAGAUGGACCCGCGUCGCAUUAGCUAGUUGGUGAGGUAACGGCUCACCAAGGCGACGAUGCGUAGCCGACCUGAGAGGGUGAUCGGCCACAUUGGGACUGAGACACGGCCCAGACUCCUACGGGAGGCAGCAGUGGGGAAUAUUGCACAAUGGGGGAAACCCUGAUGCAGCAACGCCGCGUGAGUGAUGAAGGUCUUCGGAUUGUAAAGCUCUGUCUUUGGGGACGAUAAUGACGGUACCCAAGGAGGAAGCCACGGCUAACUACGUG